rnacentral:rRNA from 1 species
UUUCCCACGGGGGGCAGCAGUGGGGAAUAUUGGGCAAUGGGCGAAAGCCUGACCCAGCAACGCCGCGUGAAGGAAGAAGGCUUUCGGGUUGUAAACUUCUUUUGACAGGGAAGAGCAGAAGACGGUACCUGUCGAAUAAGCCACGGCUAACUACGUGCCAGCAGCCGCGGUAAUACGUAGGUGGCAAGCGUUGUCCGGAUUUACUGGGUGUAAAGGGCGUGCAGCCGGGCUGACAGGUCAGAUGUGAAAUCCCGCGGCUCAACCGCGGAACUGCAUUUGAAACUGUCAGUCUUGAGUACCGGAGG